rnacentral:lncRNA from 1 species
GUCACUGUGAGAACAUGCCGAACAUGUGUGCUGGGAUCAGACCUUCUGCCCUGCUAAUUAUGUUUUAGCGCUGUUUAUAGAGAGCUUCAGGAAAACCAUCUUCCUGUAGAUUAUUAUUUACUGCUUUGAAUAUGAUCGAUAUGUCUUAUAUCAUUUUAAUAUAUUAAUGAUGUUUUGUGUCGGCAGCACUGAUUUUUUUUUAAACAAUGUUAAAAGAUUUUGUUUGUAUGUGCUUGAACACCAAGAGUUAAUGUAUUACAUCUAUCAGAGCAAAGUUCUCAGAGAUACUGCAGAUUUCACGAGCUCUGCGUAAACAGAAGGAGGGACACCAACACCAGUCAAAAAAGAUAUCAUGUUGCUCCGACAUACACAUCCAGUGUCUACAAAACAUGCAACCAGUGAAGGGAAGCGUGUGGCUACUGUGGAUUUCACUCAGACCAAAGUGUCAAUGUACCGUGCGCUCACAGAUGCAAUGCUGACGAGGAGAAAGACUCCACAGUGUUGCUUGUGCAGGAGCUUCACCAGUUCAUCAGAGAGUUCCUAUUCAGGGUCAUGAAGAACACUUGACUGCUGCCACCUGACCGCACUGAGGCGAAGAACACCUGCGGAAUUAAAAAAGAUGUCAAAAAAUG